rnacentral:rRNA from 1 species
UCUUGGUCAUUAGAGGAAGUAAAAGUCGUAACAAGGUUUCCGUAGGUGAACCUGCGGAAGGAUCAUUAUCGAAUUAUAAGCGAGGGUUGUUGCUGGCCUCGAAAGAGGCAUGUGCACGCCCGAGCUCUUAAAUCCACAACACACCUGUGAACCCACCGUAGGCCUUCGGGCUUAUGUAUCAUAUACUCUGAAUGUGUCAUAGAAUGUUCAUGUUGCCUUAAAACGCAAUCAAAUACAACUUUCAACAACGGAUCUCUUGGCUCUCGCAUCGAUGAAGAACGCAGCGAAAUGCGAUAAGUAAUGUGAAUUGCAGAUUUUCAGUGAAUCAUCGAAUCUUUGAACGCACCUUGCGCUCCUUGGUAUUCCGAGGAGCAUGCCUGUUUGAGUGUCAUUAAAUUCUCAACCCCACCGAUUUGCUUCGGGGGGAUUGGACUUGGAGCGUGCUGGCGAAGGUCGGCUCCUCUUUAAAUGCAUCAGUGGAGAGAAACUUGCCCCAGUGUGAUAAUCCUGUUGCGCUGUGGUGGGUGAAAGUCUGCUUCCAACCGUCCCUCCGGGGACAUAUGUCAUCUUAUUUUGACCUCAAAUCAGGUAGGACUACCCGCUGAACUUAAGCAUAUCU